ACAUGAGUAGUAAGCGUUGUUUAUAGUGGGUAGGUGUAAAGGAUGGCAAGACGCGGAGGCUGGUACGUUUAUGACUUAAAUGUGCUUCCGGCUAAACUUCUUUAGAAUAAAUUCCACUUAUUGUGUUAAUAGGGAUAAAAUCCCGCGAUUUAAUACGGUGGGUCGGGAUAAAGGUGGUGGUUUUUUCUAAAUGAACUUGUCCCAUGAAAGUAUAGUGCUAGACGAGGAUUAGAGACCCUCUUAUUCUAUACUGCAAAUUAUGGCCACGUUGCGCAUAGCAUAGCUAACGUAAGACUGGCCCACCGGGGUACUAAAGCCGCAAGGCUCAAACUUAAAAGAAUUGGCGGGACUUUUUAUACGGUGGAACAUGUGAUUUAAUGCGGUAAUCCUCGCUUAACCUUACCAACACAGUUCACUCCCUUCAAAUUGUUUUUUGGAAUAGUUUGGUGUUAGGGGUAAUUGGUGUUGCAUGGCUGUCGUCAGUUCGUGCUGUAAAGUGUGGCAUUUAGUUGUAGAGGCGAACGAAACCCACCCGGCUGUUGUUGGUGUGGAUGAAGUCAAGUCUGUAUGAUCUUUAUGUGUUGGGCUAUCCAUGUGUUACAAAGCAAGACCCAGUAAUUCAAAUUUUUGUAAAAAAAUUUUUAAAUAAUGUCUUGUUUUUCGCGAUAAGGCUUUGUAAGUCAAGCCUUUGAGACAGGAAUCGUCAGUAGUCGUAUUUUAGAAUGAUACGGUGAAGAUAGCAAAAAGUUUGCACACACCGCCCAUCACGCUCGGAGAAUCUUAUGUAAUUAAACGGCUGACCUUACCGUCGUAUAUGCGGGUUUUUUUUUAAACCGGUUGGGAUGGUCGGAUAGUUAUGUGCGUUAAUUUGAGUGAAGUUG
rnacentral:rRNA from 1 species